rnacentral:rRNA from 1 species
GACGUAGGGCGCGAGCGUUGUCCGGAUUUAUUGGGCGUAAAGAGCUCGUAGGCGGCUUGUCGCGUCGUUCGUGAAAACCCACGGCUCAACUGUGGGCUUGCGGUCGAUACGGGCAGGCUGGAGUUCGGUAGGGGAGACUGGAAUUCCUGGUGUAGCGGUGAAAUGCGCAGAUAUCAGGAAGAACACCGGUGGCGAAGGCGGGUCUCUGGGCAACUACUGACGCUGAGAAGCGAAAGCAUGGGGAGCGAACAGG